UUUCUGGUGGCCUGAGUAUUACUAAUUUAAAAAGCACUAUUUUAAUUUUAGUGAUGUGCUCUCAGGUUGUACCACAGAGCAGAACGCAAGCUCUACUAACCUGGUCUGAUUGUAGGGAGGUGCUGGAUGCCCUUGUGGUCUUUUCAUCCAUUUUUUAGGGAACUGCUGGUGUUUUUUGGAGUGCUCUCUAAUGUGGCUCUGGGGAUAGGCUGGCUCCCAGCAUGGCCAGGAUUGCAGAGGACACGCUCUCCUAGACAGCCAUCAGCACAGCCACGCUUUCUUCCAGCCCCGGCUGGCGUCAAUGCCUGCUUCCCCCCGCAAAGCACUUUUUACACCACCCGAAUCUACAGACAAGGAGUAAACAGUCAUUGAUGAGGACGCCUCCAUGCACUCCACAGGGGCAAUUACCCUGUUGCCUCUAUCACCAACGCUGCGUUAGGACCAGCCACAUUCAGGCAAUGUGUCACUUACCUCAAAAGACCUGAUGGACUUUCACAGAAGUACCUUACAGGACAAGGGUACAGCAUCCAGGUGAAACAGCUAGAGGAACUGGGACA